GCUAUAGCUGGGGAGGUGCGACUCUUGCCUGCUUGUACCACAAUCUAUGUGAAGCUGCACUUGGUAAGAGGACCGAUGUCGGGGGAGCUCUUACAUUGUUACAGCUGUGGGCUUGGGAAAGAAUCCCAAUUAUUAGACCGCAGAUGCUGAACCCCGCGCCCGUAGACUACUUACCAUGUGCAGUCGCAUGGACUGGUCGGGCCUCUUAUGUAAAAGCACCGGGGCAUUGCAUUGAAACUUUCAGAGAUCAGUUCUCAACAAUGCAUGCCAAUCAGUUUAUUUGGAGGCCGUAUGAAUCGCGAAAUCUGCCGGAUGUUUGUGUUGCCGGUCGUCCUAUAUGGACGUCGAUGACAACACUAAUCUGCUGGAAUAUGGUUGAGCCACACAUGCCACAGCG